rfam:Picea glauca, whole genome shotgun sequence.
GAAUCUCGACAAUGGAUAUCUCGACUCUUUUCAUGAUGAAGAAUGUAGAGAAAUGAGAUACUUAGUGUGAAUUACAGAAUCCCAUGAAUCAUCAAGUUUUUGAAGGCAAUUUAUGCUCAAGGCCUAGGUCGAGGGCAUGUCUACCUGGGUGUUG